AUCCAUCUGACGAGUCCUAAAUAGGACGAAUUGUCGCGCAUCCUGGAU
rnacentral:hammerhead_ribozyme from 1 species